rnacentral:rRNA from 1 species
CUUAACUGGGCGUUAAGUUGCAGGGUAUAGACCCGAAACCCGGUGAUCUAGCCAUGGGCAGGUUGAAGGUUGGGUAACACUAACUGGAGGACCGAACCGACUAAUGUUGAAAAAUUAGCGGAUGACUUGUGGCUGGGGGUGAAAGGCCAAUCAAACCGGGAGAUAGCUGGUUCUCCCCGAAAGCUAUUUAGGUAGCGCCUCGUGAAUUCAUCUUCGGGGGUAGAGCACUGUUUCGGCUAGGGGGUCAUCCCGACUUACCAACCCGAUGCAAACUACGAAUACCGAAGAAUGUUAUCACGGGAGACACACGGCGGGUGCUAACGUCCGUCGUGAAGAGGGAAACAACCCAGACCGCCAGCUAAGGUCCCAAAGUCACAGUUAAGUGGGAAACGAUGUGGGAAGGCACAGACAGCCAGGA